GUCAGCCGCUGCAGAAAUUUUGUAAUCUCUUCAUGCCUAUUUGUUAUUUUUGUGAAAAACUCGAAAAAGCUCAAGCAAAUCAUAUUGUUUUCAAUGUGUAUUGUAAAAUAAGGCAUAAUUCAAAGUCAAUCUUUGAUUUUAAAGCGCGUCGUUGAGUUGACACUGCUUUAUCGGGGUUUUCGGGUGUAUUUCAUACAUUGAUGCAGAGGAAUAGUGAAAAAGUUAUGACCAUGUAAAGAAAACUGAAAAAGAUUUCAUCAAGCAAGUUUGAGUAAUUGAAAUGCUGAAAGA